UUGCUUCAGUUGUGUCCGACUCUGUGCGAAACAGCUUAUUUUGAAAUUAUAAUAGAAAUUCUCACAUAAAGUCACCUUCAAGAAAUUCUUAUCUAAAGAGCUUCAACUACUGAAAUGUUCCUGAGAUGCUUCCAUCUUACUGAAAACUGAGGCAUUCUUAAUUAGCCUCCAGAGGCUGUGAGCCAAGGAGGCUCCCAGGCUUUUUGCAGCAAUUAUGAGAAAACAGCUACAAGUGGAAAACCCUGUCCCAAGACUGACAAACCAGUAUGUGGCACUGAUGGACAAACUUACCACAACCUCUGUGAAUUCUGCAAAGCAGCUAAGGAAAGAAAUUGGAAGCUCAAUUUCAAACACGAAGGAAAAUGUUGAUUCGCCUGAUGCUGCAAUGCUGGAAGUGCCUACAAUUCACCUUUUGCAUCAGAAGAGUCUCUGUUUAUCCAGUCUCCAUUGCUAUGUAUUUCCCAUCAGUUAUUCUGCAUAAAGAAAGCACUUUCAAUAAAGUUAUCUUGGCAGACUGAC